GAUGAACACUAGCUACAGGCUUAACACAUGCAAGUCGAGGGGCAGCGGUAUCGAAAGCUUGCUUUCGGUAGCCGGCGACCGGCGCACGGGUGAGUAACGCGUAUCGAACCUGCCUCAUACUCGGGAAUAGCCUUGCGAAAGUAAGAUUAAUGCCCGGUGUUUUCAGAGUCCCGCAUGAGGCUUUGAACAAAGAUUUAUCGGUAUGAGAUGGCGAUGCGUCCCAUUAGCUUGUUGGCGGGGUAACGGCCCACCAAGGCAUCGAUGGGUAGGGGUUCUGAGAGGAAGGUCCCCCACAUGGGAACUGAGACACGGUCCAAACUCCUACGGGAGGCAGCAGUGAGGAAUAUUGGUCAAUGGGCGGAAGCCCGAACCAGCCAAGUAGCGUGCAGGAAGACGGCCCUCCGGGUUGUAAACUGCUUUUAGUUGGGAAUAAAACGGGGCUCGUGAGCCCCCUUGCAUGUACCAUCAGAAAAAGGACCGGCUAAUUCCGUG
rnacentral:rRNA from 1 species